GACGAACGCUGGCGGCGUGCUUAACACAUGCAAGUCGAACGGAAAGGCCCUGCUUGCAGGGUGCUCGAGUGGCGAACGGGUGAGUAACACGUGGGUGAUCUGCCCCUUACUUUGGGAUAAGCCUGGGAAACUGGGUCUAAUACUGGAUAGGACCAUGCUGUAGGUGGUGUGGUGGAAAGAUUAGUUUCGGUAAGGGAUGAGCUCGCGGCCUAUCAGCUUGUUGGUGAGGUAAUGGCCUACCAAGGCGUCGACGGGUAGCCGGCCUGAGAGGGUGGACGGCCACAUUGGGACUGAGAUACGGCCCAGACUCCUACGGGAGGCAGCAGUGGGGAAUAUUGCACAAUGGGCGCAAGCCUGAUGCAGCGACGCCGCGUGGGGGAUGACGGCCUUCUGGUUGUAAACUCCUUUCAGCCAUGACGAAGCCCUUGUGGUGACGGUAGUGGUAGAAGAAGCACCGGCUAACUACGUG
rnacentral:rRNA from 1 species